rnacentral:rRNA from 1 species
UACGUAGGUGGCAAGCGUUACUCGGAAUCACUAGGCGUAAAGCGCAGGUAGGAGGUUUGGUAAGUCUAUUGUGAAAGCUCCCGGCUUAACUGGGAGAGGUCAAUGGAAACUACCAGGCUGGAGUGCGGUAGAGGUAGCUGGAAUUCCCGGUGUAGCGGUGAAAUGCGUAGAUAUCUGGAGGAACACCGGUGGCGAAGGCGGCAUCCUGGACCGGUAUUGACGCUGAGGAGCGAAAGCCAGGGGAGCAAACGGG